GGCAACUUGGCCGAGUGGUCUAAGGCGCUGGAAUUAGGUCAUCUACAUCCAGUCCGAAAGGGCGUGAGUUCGAACCUCACAGUUGUCA